ensembl:lncRNA
AAAUGGGGAAAAACUUGGUUGCUGCUUCUUGUCUUCCAGAGCUGGUGUCUCCUUGGUUACUGGCCUAUGUGCCUAUAAGAAGCUGCCACAGAGUGCUGAAGGACAAAUAUGGGGAGUUUUCUCCUCCAGCAUUCCAUGCUGAUUUCCCUGUAAGCUUUUGGUGCAACUGGACCAUCUGGGCAGGCUCCAGGAAGCACAUCAUCAUUUAUAUCCAGGGAUUUAUCACUAAGGAUGCUUGCAACAAAAAUGAGGACAAAAUUCUGUUUGAAGGAGUCUCCUCCCUGGUGGAAAACAGUGUUGUUUAUGCCUGCUGGAAAAAGGAGAUGCGUGUUUUUGCCACCUUUGCUCAGGCUGUCCAUGUUGUGCUGCUGAAGAGGUACUUGCCAAACCAGAGAGAUGCAGGAUUUAAAGGGAAGUACUACAUCUUUGAAGACCAGCAAGGUGCCUCUUCCUCCAAAGAUGGUGCAAUUUCUGGAAAUUCUGCUCCAAAACUGCCAAAGAAAGGUGGUGAUUUUCAGUCUGGCUGGGUUGAAAACCUUAGGGGUGCACUGGGCUUUGCAGUCACACGUGGCAGCAGCACCGUGCUGAGCACUGAGCAGAUGCAGGGAAGAGGGAUCACUGUGGACACCACGGCUGUGGGAAGUCCUACAGAACUUCUCCCACGUGAACGUGCAAGAACACAGGCUCUGGAAACAAAAGCUCCUUCUGGGCUGGGGUCUGAGCUGCUGGAGGCUCCAGGCAUAGGAACACCUGAGGGAAUAAUCUCCACUGCAGCUCAGGACAUGUGGGGACAGAACCCCUCCAUGAGUGAAGGCAGUGCUGUGAGUUCUGCUCCCGUGCACAGUGUGCCUUUGGAAACUCCUGUGCUUGGUGCCUUCCAGGGAGCAGAACCUUUUUGGCAGCCAGCAGGGGUGAGUCUGGAGAGCAGCCAGGCUAUCCUGAGCCCUACCCUGAGGCCAGAAGGUCUGGGCCACCUGCAGCUUACCAUUAAACCAACAGGCACGGGUCACCUGGCCCUGGCUGCACACUCUGAGCCUCUGUCCCCUGGCACAGGACAAAGCCAGCAGGGCACAGGUCCCAGCAGGGACAGCCAGCUCAGCACAGCCAGCCUGGAGAAGGAAGGAAGUCCUGCCCUGCUGAGUGUCCCAGAUGAUGGCCUCACCAAGGGCCUGAUGCCCAGCCUGAGGAGCCCCUCUGAUGUGGUCACCAGGGAUCACUUGCAGCUGCUUCCUGAGAGAAGCCAAAGCAGUUUGGGGCGUUUGUCCAUGCCUAAACCUGAGCUAGGCACAACUGGCCUCCAGCAUACCAAGCUCAUGGAUAUUUUCUCACUGGGAAGUUUUGGGGGAGCUGUCAGGAGGAGAACAGCACUGCAUCCCACAGCACCAGGGCUGGCUGUACCUGCUUUGGCAACAGGGCUGGAGCAUCCUCUGACACCUGUGGCUGCCCUGGGGACAGAAACCAUCCCUGUGCCGGUGACCUCCUCCACAGUGCCUGUCCCUGCAGGCUUUGGCUCUCUGGAUUUAGUUCCUGAAGCACCUCUUCCUCCACAAGUGGAAUCUCUGCCCAUGGUGCCCUCUCUCCCAGCUCCUCUGGACUGGGACACCAUCAGUCUCAAGCAAAGGAACAUCUCCCCAGCCAGCCCAGGAGGACAGGAGAUGGUCUCCCCUUCACCACCUUGCCAUCCAUCUGCAGCCUCUGAACUGGGCACAGAUGGGUCCUCCAGAUGCCUUGGCCCUGGGAAGAAAAAGCAAAACUUGGUGCUGGGACAGGGAGGUGAAACCACAGCCUCUGUGGGCCUGAUGGCCAGGAUUCCCUCCCCAGUCUUUGUCACUGUCCCAGGGCCUGCUGUGAGGCUUGCUCAGCCUGAGGGCCAUGCCACCAGAGGCUCUGGGGUGACACCAGCUUCCCUGUCAGACACCAGGGAGGUGCCUGUGCAGCAUCAGGACAGUGCUGCCAGUGACAAACCAGCUUCUGUCUCCAGAUCCAGGGAGUUUGAAAUGCAGGGAAGCCCAGAAGGUGUGCAGGUGGGUGCAGGGCAGAGGACAGCCGCCUCCUUCAGCACCACUCCUGCACACCCUGAUCUGUCUGCAGCUCCACGGGAAGAAACACUGCCCAGAGACCAAAAGCCUUGGGAGCCUUCUGGUGUAGCCAGGAAUACCCAGAUGGCAAAAGGACAGCAAGGGAAAUAUGCUGAUGUGUCAGAGCUGGGCCCUCCCUGGGUAACUGAGUACUUUCCCAUCAGGAGCUGCCACCGCGUCCUCUGGGAUGGCUCUGGCCUGUUCCGCCUCCCGCUGCACAUGGACAUUAAAGCCAACAUCUGGUGCAACUGGACCAUCUGGGCAGGGCCCCAGAAGCACAUUGUUAUCUAUGUCCAAGGGUUCCAGGGGAGUGAUGGCUGUGGCAACAACCAGGACAGGAUCAUCUUCCAGGGGGUCUCGUCAAACGUGGAAACCAAAGUGGUGUUUGCCUGCCACAACCGAGGCACUCUGGUCUUUGCUGCACAAGCCACUGAGGUGCAGGUGUUGUUUCUGUCAGGGAGUGGUUCCAGAAGCCAUGAAUACAGGUAUUUUAGAGGACAGUACUAUGUAUUCAGAGACUCUGAAACUGUGGGCUCUUCAAGUGAUACCAAAGCAGCUCCCCAGGAGCCUGCCCAGGAGACCUCUAAAAAUGAGAGCUGGAGGACAGAGGAGACCAAAGGUUUGCUGUCCAUGCUGACAGCUCCUCCAGGCCCACCAGCUGCACCUGCUGGUGGCAGGAUCCAGCCUGGUGUUGUGAGCCCAGAAGAGGUGGGCCAACAUUCUCCUGAUCUCAUGGAAGAUGGCCAGUCUGGUGCCAACCAGAGUGAGCGUGGUCAGGAUGAAACCAGGCUGGAAAAGAACCUUAAGGACAGAGGAAGCAAGGGCAGAGAAACUGAAUGUGACAUGUUGGUGAAACCAGCUCCAGGGCAGGACACUGGGGGCAAAGCUGAGCCACCUGCCUUGGAGCUGUCCCCUGGAAGAGCUCUGGUCACCGUGGUCCCAUGUGACCCAGCUGGCUCUCCUUGCUCAGAGAAGCCCAGCAGCAGUGUAGGUGUCUCUGCCAGUGGCAGCCCCUCAGAAGUGCCAGCUGCUGCACAUCACACACAGACACCAGAGCUGGCAGAGCCACUGCUGAGCACCAGCACAAAAACACCUCUCUACCCCUCUCCUGGUGCGACUGCUGCUGAUGUGGUGCCUCUGGGAGGAAGGACUGAAGAAAUCUUAGAUCUGAUGUCAUCUGUGGGGAACGACACAGGACUGCAGUCCCAGCACCAUCCUGGAGAUGUGCUCUUUGAAGUCACUGCUGAAAUCAAACCCAAGGACUGGAUUCCUCAUGGUGGAAGUGAGGUCCAAAAGGGUCUCCUUGAAUCUCUGAAGGAUCAUAUCCAGAAGAACCUGAAGCUUUCUGCCAGUAGAGUCAGUGAAAUAAAACUAAAGGAUGCCAAAAGGACGAGUGAUGCCAACCUGCUGCUCACCUUCUGGCUGCACCUGGAGCCAGAGGACAGGAAUGUGUCUCUGCUCCUGCGCUCCCACCUGGAGGAGCUGCUUGGCACCUCGGUGGGCAUGGAGAAGCUGCAGCUUGUUUCACUCUUCAUAGAAGAUGUGAACGAGUGCCAGGCUGGGCUCGGCCUCUGCGGGGAGGAGGCGGAGUGCUUCAAUGGCGUGGGCACCUACCUGUGCCGCUGCAAGCAGGGCUACGAGGACCAUUCUCCCACCAAGUCGGGCACGCUCUGCAUCCGCGCUCCCCGGACAGGGAUCAGCAUCUUCCUCCGCCACGCUGACAUGCUGGUGGGGGCAGCCCUGGUGGCUGGCCUGGUGCUGCUGGUGGCCUUUGGUGGCCUCUGCGUCACGGCCCUGUGCGGACAGGCCCCCAGGAGGAGCCCAAGGCCCGAGGAGCCAGCGGUGAGGGCUGUGGAGGAGCCAGCCAUGGAGCUGCACAGCCUGGGGCAGUGCCUGCAGCUCGACCCCUUGCAGCUGAAGCUGCGGGCCAGGGCCCCCGAGUGGCUCUGGAAUGUCCGUGUCCCCCCUGGCCAGGCGGGACAGGGACAGCAAUUCCCAGAGCAGCCUCCCCCACUCUGAGGGGAGCCUCAGUGACCUGUGCAGGUACUCCUGCAUUUCCCCAGGUUUCUGCCACAACCCCUGGCUGUGCCAACCCUUCUGCUGUGUUUUAUGGACCAUGAAUAUCCCACAACAGUGUUCCUCAUGUUGUAAUUUAAUAUUUUUAAUGCUUGCUCAGCUAGGGGAACAAAAUGUUUGCUUCACGUGGCUGUACGUCUGCUGAUUUACUUUACUUGAGAUCUGCACAGGAAAAUUAAAAUCUUUAUUUUCUUUUAAAGAAAAAUGGAAGUAAGAUGUUUUGG